UGCAAGUCGAGCGCCCAGCAAUGGGAGCGGCAGACGGGUGAGUAACGCGUGGGGAUCUACCCAUUGGUACGGAAUAACCCAGGGAAACUUGGACUAAUACCGUAUGUGCCCUUCGGGGGAAAGAUUUAUCGCCAAUGGAUGAACCCGCGUCGGAUUAGCUAGUUGGUGAGGUAAAGGCUCACCAAGGCGACGAUCCGUAGCUGGUCUGAGAGGAUGAUCAGCCACACUGGGACUGAGACACGGCCCAGACUCCUACGGGAGGCAGCAGUGGGGAAUAUUGGACAAUGGGCGCAAGCCUGAUCCAGCCAUGCCGCGUGAGUGAUGAAGGCCUUAGGGUUGUAAAGCUCUUUCGCCGGUGAAGAUAAUGACGGUAACCGGAGAAGAAGCCCCGGCUAACUUCGUGCCAGCAGCCGCGGUAAUACGAAGGGGGCUAGCGUUGCUCGGAAUCACUGGGCGUAAAGCGCACGUAGGCGGAUCGUUAAGUCAGGGGUGAAAUCCUGGGGCUCAACCUCAGAACUGCCCUUGAUACUGGCGAUCUCGAGUUCGAGAGAGGUUGGUGGAACUCCGAGUGUAGAGGUGAAAUUC
rnacentral:rRNA from 1 species